CCUACGGGAUGCAGCAGUGGGGAAUAUUGGACAAUGGGCGCAAGCCUGAUCCAGCCAUGCCGCGUGGAUGAUGAAGGCCUUAGGGUUGUAAAGUCCUUUUAACGGGGAAGCGGUACCCGUAGAAUAAGCCCCGGCUAACUUCGUGCCAGCAGCCGCGGUAAUACGAAGGGGGCUAGCGUUGCUCGGAAUCACUGGGCGUAAAGCGCACGUAGGCGGCUUUCUAAGUCAGAGGUGAAAUCCUGGAGCUCAACUCCAGAACUGCCUUUGAUACUGGGGAGCUCGAGUCCGGAAGAGGUUAGUGGAACUGCGAGUGUAGAGGUGAAAUUCGUAGAUAUUCGCAAGAACACCAGUGGCGAAGGCGGCUAACUGGUCCGGACUGACGCUGAGGUGCGAAAGCGUGGGGAGCAAACAGGAUUAGAUACCCCAGUAGUC
rnacentral:rRNA from 1 species